GAUGAACGCUGGCGGCGUGCCUAAUACAUGCCAGUCGAGCGAACAGACGAGGAGCUUGCUCCUCUGACGUUAGCGGCGGACGGGUGAGUAACACGUGGAUAACCUACCUAUAAGACUGGGAUAACUUCGGGAAACCGGAGCUAAUACCGGAUAAUAUAUUGAACCGCAUGGUUCAAUAGUGAGAGACGGUUUUGCUGUCACUUAUAGAUGGAUCCGCGCCGCAUUAGCUAGUUGGUAAGGUAACGGCUUACCAAGGCAACGAUGCGUAGCCGACCUGAGAGGGUGAUCGGCCACACUGGAGCGUAGACACGGUCCAUACUCCUACGGGAGGCAGCAGUAGCGAAUCUUCCGCAAUGGGCGAAAGCCUGACGGAGCGACGCCGCGUGAGUGAUGAAGGUCUUCGGAUCGUAAAACUCUGUUAUUAGGGAAGAACAAAUGUGUAAGGAACUAUGCACGUCUUGACGGUACCUAAUCAGAAAGCCACGGCUAACUACGUG
rnacentral:rRNA from 1 species